AGCAUGUUUAGACAGAACAGGGGAGGACAAGGUGCCUGACUGGGUGGGAGUGGCAGGAGGGGAAGGCUUCCUGGGAAGAGAAGGGGAGAUGAGUUUUGUGGUGGGGGUGCUGGAAGAAAGCCUAGGCGAGCCCGUCCUUCCUCCCUGCUUUCUCCAAGGUCAUCUGCAUUCAGAGCCUGGAAUCAGUGGGAGUGAGGAGCUGCUUGUGUAAACCCAGGGCUGGGGCUUCACAGCACCGUCCACUAGACCUUCUGCAAGGAAGGAAAUGCGCCAUCAUCUGUGCUGCCCAACGGGACGGCCCUGGCCACACUUUAAUCCUGGCUCGUGCAACUGGGAAACUGAAUUUUUAAAAAGAAUUUAAAUUUAAAUAACCACAGGAGGCGCUUGGCUACCAUAUUGGACACGGCAUACAAUACAGAUGGCUAGGGAAAGUGAGAGGUCACAGCGCCCUCCAAGUACCUUGUGCUCCUAUGAAGAGGGAGCAGCUUUCUGAAAUUUUUAACACCUUUCCAGAUGUGCUGAAGAGAUCUGUCCUAGAGAUGUUGCAGGCGUGAUAUUUUCAUGGCAUUUUAAAGUAUCACUGGAUCCGUCUUCCGACGUUUUAAAGAAAUCCCUUAGGGGGGAUAAGAUGCCUGUUGACUAAUUAAACUCAGUAACAAGCCAU